rnacentral:rRNA from 1 species
UACAGAGGGUGCGAGCGUUAAUCGGAAUUACUGGGCGUAAAGCGCACGUAGUCGGCUUUGCAAGUCGGGUGUGAAAUCCCCGGGCUUAACCUGGGAACUGCGUUUGAAACUACAAGGCUAGAGUGUAGCAGAGGGGGGUGGAAUUCCACGUGUAGCAGUGAAAUGCGUAGAGAUGUGGAGGAACACCGAUGGCGAAGGCAGCCCCCUGGGUUAACACUGACGCUCAGGCACGAAAGCGUGGGGAGCAAACAGG